rnacentral:misc_RNA from 1 species
AUGGCAAGCUCAUUGAAGCUCUGGUGCCGUUCUCUCUUCCUCUUUCUUUUCUUCUUUUCUCUCCCUAUUCAUGGAGCAUUUUGUGCUGUUGCUUUUUGUUUAGGCUUUGGAUUUGAGAUUUUUUUUUUAAUUGCAAUGUGGUAUUCUAUUGGAAUUUGGAUUGGAAUUGUAUUGACUUUGUCGGAUUUGUUUUUGGAUAUUAAAAAUUUUUUCUCAUUUUAAGUGUUUGAUUAAAUGCUCGGAAGAGGCAAGCUGCAUUUUCAG